rnacentral:lncRNA from 1 species
GUCUCGCACAUGCAGUCGUUUUUGUUAUUUCAUUGAUAGUCUGUUAAAUUUGGCCUUACAAUGACAAUUCUCCGUAAAUUUGGAGGCUGCCAAUUUCUAAACAAGAAAAGAAAAAAAAGACACAAACUUAACUUUUUUGAUUCUGAUAUUUUUCAGUUCAAGAUAGUAUUAUUUACUUCGAAUUCAUUAUCAAUAAAUGAAAAUAACUGUUCUCGUCAUGAAAAAUAUUGCACAGCUGUACAACACUCCGUAGUAAUGACUUUUGUGUAUGGAUUUCAACACCAGACCCGAUUCGGCC